GAUUUAUUUAAUUCUGGUUGUAGGAGAUAUGCGUACUGUUGCUACAUAGGUGUGUUGUAUGUUUGAUUCAUAAAAGCGAGAUAGCGGUUGUUCUCGUAGCUAGUAGUUAGAACUUGUAUUAGAAGCAAUUUUGAUUAGGGCAGUCGUAGAAAAGUGGUGAACACUCAGUGCCAGCUACCGCGGUUAAUCUGUUGGCUUGUUUCUCCGCUUUAGUAUAAAUUAGUAUAAAAGAUAAGAGAAAGGGGAGGUAGAAUUUAUUCCUUUGUUUUAUAAGUGCUUUUAUGCUUUUGGUGGCUUUUGAUAGAAAAGGAUUAGAGACCCUUGUAUAGAAGAUGGUAUUUUACAACUUUAGUUUAAACUGAAAGGAUUUGGCAGCCGAUGAAGUUCGUCCGGGGGAGUGUGUUGCUUAAUAAGAUAGUCCACUUAUAGUAUUACCUCUUUUAAAGGUUAGUGUAUAUCCGGUUUAAGAUCUGGGAUUGAUGUCCACAGGUGUAUAUUUUGUAAUUUACUCCAGGUCUUUGUGCUGCUAAUGAGGAGGGGUGGUAUGCACUACUAUGUUUAAAGCUGUUGUUAUUAAAAAUAACGGGUAUUCAGGACUCGGUAGUAGGGGAUAUUUGGUGAGUAUCCUCGAAGAGGAUUCAGUUGGGGUACACACCGCCCGUCAAUCAUGAUUUUUAGUUAUGAUAAGUCGUAACAUGGUAACGUUGGGGGAACCGAACGUUAGUAACUC
rnacentral:rRNA from 1 species